UUUAACUGCACGUAUUGAACCUUGAAUAACAAAUCUAACACAUGAAAUGCUAAUAUGUAACUAGAAAAACAACUAUAUAUAUAUAUAUAUAACUAACAAUGUAAAUAUUAUACUUAAAGUAUUCACAUUAUAUUUUUAAUUCUUAAUCAGUAAUAACCUCAUACAAAAAUAUAUUACAUUCAUAAAGUUCUUUAUUAAUUUUCUCGGCAUGCAAUAGUCCUUUAAGACCUAUUCUAUAAAUCUGCUCCAUUUUUUUCUACUAGCAAAUCUUUCACCAAGUCAUGCAAUACAAAAGGUCUAUCUCUCAAUGUUGGGCUCUAUAACAAAAAUAAUAUAAAAAUAUAUCAUAUCAGUUGAUUUAAUAUCUUACUAUUUUAAAGAGUAUACAAACAUUGCUACUAAACAAUUAAAUAUAUGCGAUAGGCUUUUUUAUUUCUCGCAGAUGAAGAACUUUUUUCCUUUUCAAUCAAAAUAUUAGUACUGUGAGAGUCCAUGUUUAUUACAUAUAUUUCAUUUACCCAUAUCUUGUUGUCUUACUACUUGAACGUGUUUGGGUACCAUUAACUUGAGUAAAAAAUAUAAAUUAUAAGUGUUUAUAUUUCGACAAUAAAUUAUUUACUAUAAACGCACUAAUCAAAUACUCCACGUUAUUUUUAUAUUUUGAAGAAUAAAUAACUAUAAAUUUUGACAAACCGGAAAAUAUACAAAAACAACAUUACAAUGAGAAAAUAAAUACUUCCAAAUAGAAACUAACCUAAUUGGGUGAAAGUUUCAGUCUUACAACCCCCCAAUUAAGGAUCUUUUAGUACCACUUAUCACAAUCAAGAUACUUCAAUCUCAUAUUUUGUGCCAACUUACAUUGAAAAUGAAAUAAGAUAAGAAUCUAAUUUUACUCAAAGUUACUAUCAAUUAUGGAGUAACAUAAAAUUUUAAAUAGUCCAUGAAAAAGAACUAAAAUAGAAUUGAUCUCCUAAAAUACUUUAAAAUGUUUCACAAAUAGCACAGAAUUGAAACAGUUUAAAAAAUAUUAAUUGUAAAAGUUGGUAUUAAAUCUUUUGAAUAUCAAUAGCAAUAGCAAUAACACAUUAUAAUAAUAAUAUAGUCUCAGGUGGUGGAGAAGAGCGAGGAACUUAUUUGGUUUGGACAAGUCUAAUUGUUGUAUUGCCAAAUUUUGAAAAAAAAAAAAAAAAAAAGUUAUUUCAAGGCCUUAGUGGGGUUUGCUAAGUUUUGAAGAAUCAAACAAAAUAUGUCCAAUUAUUUAUGGAAAAUCUACUCUUUCAAAUUCAUUUGUAGGCAUAUAUUGGUGUUCUCUGGCACAAUAAGAGUUUUGCCUUUUGGGAUAAUAAUCUUUCAUUUAUUUUCAAACUUAAUUUUCAAACUUCAAUCUUAUUCUAAACUGAAAUGACGUAACUAAUACCUCCAAAAUUAGCAAUAGACACUAGUCUCGUCUUCAAUACUAAAAAAAAUCUAAAAAAACUAAAACUCUUUCAAGAAUAAUAAAUGACCAAGAUGAGACCUUUUUAUUUUCUCAUAAAGAAAAGGAACCAGAAGGUCGAAAUCACUAAAAAAGUAUAAAAUGAAAGAAACCAAGUAGCGGAAAUUUGAGAAAUGCAAUUAAAGAUCAAAACUUCUCCAAAAAUUUAUCUCCUAGUCAUUUUAUCAAACACAUAAAAUGCAUGAUGUUUAACUAUAUUUUUCUUCCAAAAUAAUUUCUCUACUCAUAUACUUCAAUAAUCAUUGCUCAAUAUAUCUUCAAAAAGAUGGGUUCUUGCUUAAAUUAUUUUUGCGAGGCAACACUUGAGAACAAAUACCAUAGCUAAAUAUAUUGCUAGAAAUGGAAAAUUUAAUACAAUAUACCUUUUUUUCAGUUAGUCGGCUCACGGAGGAGAUUUCGCCAUGUAAGAACAAAUCAACGACAUUUGUGCCAAUGAAAUUUCACUAUUGCCGCUCCUUUAUUAUGGCUUCUAGAAGAGUUGGCAAAUGAUUUUUGUAUAGAUAGAAGGUUGUAAAGGAUGUGUAAAGAAAUUUGCAAAUGAAUAGUUUCAGAUAAGAUUCUUCUUACAAAGAAAGAAAUAUUUUCAAAC
rnacentral:lncRNA from 1 species